GACAGAGGCCUCGAGCGUUAGGCGGAAUCACUGGGCUUAAAGCGUGUGUAGGCGGAUCGUUAAGUGUCUUGUGAAAUCCCACGGCUCAACCGUGGAACUGCUGGGCAUACUGGCGAUCUUGGGCCACCUAGGGGCAGUCGGAACAAACGGUGGAGCGGUGAAAUGCGUAGAUAUCGUUUGGAACGCCGAUGGUGAAAACAGACUGCUGGGGGUGUGCCGACGCUGAGACACGAAAGCUAGGGGAGCGAAUGGG
rnacentral:rRNA from 1 species